UGGCCGUGCGGCAGCUACCAUGCAAGUCGAGCGGUAACAGAGAGAAGCUUGCUUCUCUGCUGACGAGCGGCGGACGGGUGAGUAAUACUUGGGAAUUUGCCUUUAGGCGGGGGACAACCACGGGAAACUGUGGCUAAUACCGCAUAAUGUCUACGGACCAAAGUGGGGGACCUUCGGGCCUCACACCUAAAGAUGAGCCCAAGCGGGAUUAGCUAGUUGGUGGGGUAAAGGCUCACCAAGGCGACGAUCCCUAGCUGUUCUGAGAGGAUGAUCAGCCACACUGGGACUGAGACACGGCCCAGACUCCUACGGGAGGCAGCAGUGGGGAAUAUUGCACAAUGGGGGAAACCCUGAUGCAGCCAUGCCGCGUGUGUGAAGAAGGCCUUCGGGUUGUAAAGCACUUUCAGCGACGAGGAAGGGUGUUGUGUUAAUAGCGCAGCACAUUGACGUUAGUCGCAGAAGAAGCACCGGCUAACUCCGUGCCAGCAGCCGCGGUAAUACGGAGGGUGCAAGCGUUAAUCGGAAUUACUGGGCGUAAAGCGUACGUAGGCGGCGUGUUAAGCAAGAUGUGAAAGCCCCGGGCUCAACCUGGGAAUUGCAUUUUGAACUGGCAUGCUAGAGUCCUGAAGAGGGUGGUAGAAUUUCCAGUGUAGCGGUGAAAUGCGUAGAUAUUGGAAGGAAUACCGGUGGCGAAGGCGGCCACCUGGUCAGAGACUGACGCUGAGGUACGAAAGCGUGGGGAGCAAACAGGAUAAGAUACCUU
rnacentral:rRNA from 1 species